rnacentral:rRNA from 1 species
AUUGAACGCUGGCGGCAGGCCUAACACAUGCAAGUCGAACGGUAACAGGAAGCAGCUUGCUUCUUUGCUGACGAGUGGCGGACGGGUGAGUAAUGUCUGGGAAACUGCCUGAUGGAGGGGGAUAACUACUGGAAACGGUAGCUAAUACCGCAUAACGUCGCAAGACCAAAGAGGGGGACCUUCGGGCCUCUUGCCAUCGGCUGUGCCCAGGUGGGAUUAGCUAGUAGGUGGGGUAACGGCUCACCUAGGCGACGAUCCCUAGCUGGUCUGAGAGGAUGACCAGCCACACUGGAACUGAGACACGGUCCAGACUCCUACGGGAGGCAGCAGUGGGGAAUAUUGCACAAUGGGCGCAAGCCUGAUGCAGCCAUGCCGCGUGUAUGAAGAAGGCCUUCGGGUUGUAAAGUACUUUCAGCGGGGAGGAAGGGAGUAAAGUUAAUACCUUUACUCAUUGACGUUACCCGCAGAAGAAGCACCGGCUAACUCCGUG